GGCCCCAUCGUCUAACGGUUAGGACACCGGCUUUUCAAGCCGAUAAUCGGAGUUCGAUUCUCCGUGGGGUCA
rnacentral:tRNA from 1 species